ACACACUUCCACGUCAGAUGCCAUUUUGUCAUACUGUCCCUCCACUGCCAACUGUUGCACAGCAACAGAACUCAACAGAACGUUGUCUGGAAGGUUCAGCCUCUACUGCCAUACCCCCAUCAAGCACCUCUGACAUUCUGGGCCAACAGAAUAGAACAGGAGGCAUUACUUUCAGAGCAGCACUCAGUUCUGUUAGUUUUAGUCUGUAGCUUCUCAAGACAGGAGUAGCGUAUUGGAAAUGCCUAUGAACCAGAUCUGAUCACCUUAAGAUGCCAAAAUGUAUGCUCGUGUCACGUAAGAGAAACUUUUUAAGUACAAAAAGGCAGGCCACACCUGACCAAGAGAUAUUAUCCACACGGAAUCAUUCAGACGCACUGCAGCUCAAGGUAUGACUCACAGCAGAAACUAAAGGACAUAAACAGAGUGAGGAGUGAAGACAGAAAUGAAGAGUAAGGAGAGAACCCUCAGGAGUGCCUUUCAGUUGUUUAAGCAAACAAAAAACCCUAACAGAGUAAAAAAGUAAAAUAGUAAGAAGCAGCAAA